rnacentral:tRNA from 1 species
GCAGUGAUAGUUCAGUGACAGAAUUCUCACUUUCCAUGUGGGAGACCUGGGUUUGACCCCAGGUCAAUGCC